CACGAAGUUAGCCGGGGCUUCUUCUGCGGGUACCGUCAUUAUCUUCCCGCUGAAAGAGCUUUACAACCCUAAGGCCUUCAUCACUCACGCGGCAUGGCUGGAUCAGGCUUGCGCCCAUUGUCCAAGAUUCCUAACUGCUGCCUCCCGUAGGAGUCUGGGCCGUGUCUCAGUCCCAGUGUGGCUGAUCAUCCUCUCAGACCAGCUACUGAUCGUAGCCUUGGUGGGCCAUUACCCCACCAACUAGCUAAUCAGACGCGGGCCGAUCUUCUGGCGAUAAAUCUUUCCCCGAAGGGCUUAUCCGGUAUUAGCCCAAGUUUCCCUGGGUUGUUCCGAACCAAAGGCACGUUCCCACGUGUUACUCACCCGUCUGCCACUCCGUAUUGCUACGGCUUCGACUUGCAUGUUUUAGGCCUGCCGCCAGCGUUCGCUCUGAGCCAGGAUCAAACUCU
rnacentral:rRNA from 1 species